rnacentral:tRNA from 1 species
AGGAUUUUAGUUAAACUUUAAACAUUUGAUUUGCAAUCAAAAAAUAAUUAAAUAAAUUAUUUAUAUCUUA